rnacentral:rRNA from 1 species
AGUGAACGCUGGCGGUAGGCCUAACACAUGCAAGUCGAACGGCAGCACAGUAAGAGCUUGCUCUUACGGGUGGCGAGUGGCGGACGGGUGAGGAAUACAUCGGAAUCUACUUUUUCGUGGGGGAUAACGUAGGGAAACUUACGCUAAUACCGCAUACGACCUACGGGUGAAAGCAGGGGAUCUUCGGACCUUGCGCGAUUGAAUGAGCCGAUGUCUGAUUAGCUAGUUGGCGGGGUAAAGGCCCACCAAGGCGACGAUCCGUAGCUGGUCUGAGAGGAUGAUCAGCCACACUGGAACUGAGACACGGUCCAGACUCCUACGGGAGGCAGCAGUGGGGAAUAUUGGACAAUGGGCGCAAGCCUGAUCCAGCCAUACCGCGUGGGUGAAGAAGGCCUUCGGGUUGUAAAGCCCUUUUGUUGGGAAAGAAAAGCAGCAGGUUAAUACCCCGCUGUUCUGACGGUACCCAAAGAAUAAACACCGGCUAACUUCGU